AGAAAGGGGGAAAACAGGGGAAGCUUGAAGAAAGAAAAAAAAAAGAAAAAGAAAAGAAAGAAAGACAGAGAAGGGAGAAAGGGUUAUCGAGGGAGAAGAGAGGAAGAGAGGGUUGUGUCGGGGAAGAAAAGGAGAGGAAGAGAGGUCUGAGGGAGAAGUGAGUUGCGUCGCAGGGGAGAAGAGGGAGACCGAGCCGUCGCGCCACCACCGAAUCAUCGCGCCGCCACGCCGCCGCCACCGUCGGGCUGCUGUGCUGCCAUCGAUACGGUUCAGAGAGGAAGGAAGCGCUACGGUGAGGAAGGGAGCAGGAGCCCAUCGCGCUCGCUGCAAGCCCGUCGUCCGUGUCUUGUCGCCGCGCUGGAGUCGUCGCCGCCAAUGCUGAGCACCGCCGCUGCCGCCUUUGAGGGGAGCCGCCACCAUAGCUGGGAAGAACGGAGUAGGGGAGAGGAGGUUUUGUUGAUGUUGUGGCAGAGAAGGAGGACGAGACGUGUGAGAGAGAGUGACGCACAGAGGAGAGACCAUUCCUCUGCCGCCACCGAUCGCUGCCAUCAUUAAUGGUGAGUCAGUUAAGCCCUAGCUAUGAGAACCACCAUCUCUGAACCCUUAUUGCUCUGUAAAAUACCCUUAUUGUUUGUUGGGGUUUGUCUCAAUUGGAGUCACUGGUGAAGGCGUUGCCGCUGCUGGAAGCCAACGUCGAGGCUGUUGCUGGUUCUGAUUCUAUUAUCCUGGGCUGUUACACUGGUUAAAGAAUAUACACAAAAUUAUGAUACUUACAUUGGAAGGAUUUGAUAACAAAGAAGAAUCAAUGCUAUAUUGAUGCAAGAUCCAUCCACCAUCAUGGCUAGUACCACUCUUCUCAAAGCGAUAUCGUUUCCUCAUUCCAAUGCGCUGGUUAGUUUUAUUGGCCAUAAUCUCUUUUCCGAUGUCUUCCCCUUCCCAACAACCCAACCCGAUGGUGCGAACCAUUCUCAAGCUGUUAGUCGAGAACUUCCUCUUCAGACUAGUGAAGAAAUAGAGGUCCUUCCCGUCAUAAGAAUUUUCAACGUUUUCUUCCCAAAUUUCCCAUGGAUUCUUCUCCGUACCAAACAAUUCACCUUCAAGAAUGGUUCCAUAGUUUGGUAGAGGCCUCCCAUUGAUUUUGUUACGGAGAAAAUCUUGAAUGAGUUCUUCAUCUGUAGAUAAUUUUCGUUGAUAAUUGGUUUCAAUUCGGUGUAUAGGAGCUUGCUUGCAAGAUAUAUUCCCCCAGGUAUUGCUCUUUACCUUUAAAAUUUGAAAAUAUAAUUGAAUUAUGGUAAUCUAUUGUUGGAUUUUAAGUAUAAUAAUUGCUACUCUGUGAUCUGGUGUUAUUUAUACUGUAUUCUAGCUGCAAAUUUUCUAUUGUGGAUUGAAUUUACAUUCAAAUAAUUAAAUAAUUAACUAAUUAAAAAAAAAAGAAAUAUUAUUAAGUGAUGGACAUUCUAUAUGCAUGUUAAACAGACAGUAACCGCAUGUUUUUAGAUAAAUGAGUAGCUUUAUAUGUUGAGAUUUUCACCUCAAAAUCCUUACAAAAGACUACUAAUUUCACCUGAACAAUUUCUGAUAUUAAUUGUUUAACACUGUGAUUGGUUCCCUUCCAAAUUUUCAGAAACUAACAUUGGUUGUUUCCAUUUACAUGAAAACAAGCUUGAAAGAGUUCUUUUAGCCUAUGAUUGCCAAAUUGCUAAGUAUUUUUGUGUGCAUUAAUCUGUGCAUGCGACCAACAUGUAAGUAUGUCUCUUUCAAGAUUCCAAAAUGAACACUCUGGCCCAUCAUUUUAAAGAAUUUUUGUUCAUAACAGAACACUUAAGGCGGUGGCUAUUGAAAAUCCAAAUGAUGCUGAUCAAGCUGCUGAAAUUGUUCUCAGUGAAUUGCACAGAGACUUAAUAUUGCCACUACCAUGGAAGAGUAUGUCUAAUUUAUUGCAGUUGGAAAUUCAAGAAUAAAACAAAGACUCGACAAAAAUUCAAGACUGAAAUAGAGUAUUUGCUCUUAAAGUUGGGCACCUGGCAGUUCUCAAAUAAACAAGUAAUUGGACGGGAUUUUGAUUCAAAUUCAAAUUGGAAAUGGUUUUAUUCCAGGACUUGCAGCUGCAUUUUUAUUGUUAACAAGAAGAGAAGACAUGAGAGAGCGCGCUGCAAGUUUUGAAAGGGGGAGUAGUUGGCACCAUAUGAGGGAAAGACUUCCUCUUUCGAUGUCGCAGAGAAGAGAAGAAGAAAACAACGGUGAAGAAACAAAGAACGAUGGGAGAAGGAGAAGAGGGUGGCGACGACAGGGACGGUCACAGAGAAGGAUGCCAGAUCGAUAGAGAAAAGAAGAGAAAUGAGGCGACAGUGGUGAUGGAUGCCACCGCCGCUGUUGGAUCCGUAGAACUGUGUCCAUUUACCUAUCAAUCGGCAUUCUGCAGAGUUAUCCAUUUGAGUUGUGGAGUAUACACAAAUCAAUUUGUGGUUCAAAAUACCUAGACAUAUCACUAGUGAAGAAGUAGGAGGAAUUCACUGGUGAUGGAAGCAGUAACUGACAGAGAAGAUAGAGAAUGUGUAUUUUCGACCUGUAGAAAGUCCUAGUCCUAACCUUGCACACUUUGCCCUUCUUCAGAGAUGGUGUCAAGCUUUGGAGGGAAUAAAUUGAAAAAGCUAAAUCAGCUCUGGCUAAGGAUGAGGCUAAGCUUUCAAAAUUGAAAAAAGAAGAAAGCACACUUAAAGAUAUUGUGCAACAGUGAAGUAGUAUCCUUUUUCUUUCAUGCUGCUCAUGACUGACUCUGAACUUGAAUGUAAUGAAAAACAGCUGCCAGAUGCACCAGACAGGACACCGGCUGCCAAUAUUAAAGGUGGCUGAAGCAUUGCAUUUUUAGGCAUUGUCUAAGUCUCUAAGCCAUUAACUGUAGACGAACUGCUUUAUUUAAAGGAGGAGUUUACACUUUUGGAGCCAAACAAAAAUGGAACUAUUAGCCUAAAAAACAUCAAAGCGGCCUCGAUAAAAAACGCAACAAAUGCUAUGGAGUCACACAUUAUUGACUUUUUUGGAUCAAUUCCAUGAUGCAAAUUCCACGUCACUGGAGUUUAGUGUUCUUAAGGAUCUCAUUGAGAUUUUAGAGAGCAAAAGUAGCCUCAAUGAAGAGGCAGGGGGCUUGCAAUAUUUCCAAUCAAAUUGCUACGUUUUGAUGUAUCUGUUUGGUAAAAAAGGCUUAGAUUUUGGAGGAUGUCCAUUUUUGCUUCAAAAGAGGGUCUUAAUGCGGUAUUCGAGUGAUUAUUUGUUUAUGGAUAGUUUUUCUAGAACAAUUGAUGUAACUGUCUUUUUUUUUUCUUAGUUUAGGUUAUCUUUUUGUAUCAAUUUGUCGUUGGAUAUAUUUUGUGGAACUGAUCUUAUUAACUUCUUUUUAGUUUUGGUAAAUUGAACUUAUAAAAAAAAGCAUGGAAAUAAUUUAAAAACAUAUAUUUGUGUUAAGAUAUGUAAUAAGAAAUCGUGUCCUUAGA